rnacentral:rRNA from 1 species
CUGGCGGCGUGCUUAACACAUGCAAGUCGAACGCUGAAGCCCAGCUUGCUGGGUGGAUGAGUGGCGAACGGGUGAGUAACACGUGAGUAACCUGCCCCCUUCUUUGGGAUAACGCCCGGAAACGGGUGCUAAUACUGGAUAUUCACUGGCCUUCGCAUGGGGGUUGGUGGAAAGGUUUUUUCUGGUGGGGGAUGGGCUCGCGGCCUAUCAGCUUGUUGGUGGGGUGAUGGCCUACCAAGGCUUUGACGGGUAGCCGGCCUGAGAGGGUGACCGGUCACAUUGGGACUGAGAUACGGCCCAGACUCCUACGGGAGGCAGCAGUGGGGAAUAUUGCACAAUGGGCGAAAGCCUGAUGCAGCGACGCCGCGUGAGGGAUGACGGCCUUCGGGUUGUAAACCUCUUUCGCUCAUGGUCAAGCCGCAGCUUUGGGUUGUGGCGAGGGUAGUGGGUAAAGAAGCGCCGGCUAACUACGUGCCAGCAGCCGCGGUAAUACGUAGGGCGCGAGCGUUGUCCGGAAUUAUUGGGCGUAAAGGGCUUGUAGGCGGUUGGUCGCGUCUGCCGUGAAAUCCUCUGGCUUAACUGGGGGCGUGCGGUGGGUACGGGCUGACUUGAGUGCGGUAGGGGAGACUGGAACUCCUGGUGUAGCGGUGGAAUGCGCAGAUAUCAGGAAGAACACCGGUGGCGAA